rnacentral:lncRNA from 1 species
UUCUUUUCCUGUUCAUUUGAUUGUAAUCUGUUAAACCAUUUUUAGUGGAACUGUUAAUCACUAUUUGUAGUGAUUAACGACUGGACGUAGAUUCUGUUGAAUCGAACCAGUAUAAAAAUACUCGUGUGAUUUUUCUAUUCCCUACACUCAUUUUAUUUAACGCAUACCAACUGUUUGAUUAAUUUUCAGAAAGAAAAUUAUUUUUGCUAAAAGGACCAAAUUAAUUUUAAUUGUGAUCGAACACGCUUUCCGCUCUCUGUGUUUUAAUUCCGCUG